rnacentral:rRNA from 1 species
AUAAUACCCGAUAGAUCUCGACUGCUGGAAUGCAUCGAGAUCGAAAGCUCCGGCGCCUAAGGAUGGGUCUGCGGCCUAUCAGGUAGUAGUGGGUGUAGCGUACCUACUAGCCUACGACGGGUACGGGUUGUGAGAGCAAGAGCCCGGAGAUGGAUUCUGAGACACGAAUCCAGGCCCUACGGGGUGCAGCAGGCGCGAAAACUUUACAAUGCUGGAAACAGCGAUAAGGGGACCUCGAGUGCCAGGUUACAAAUCUGGCUGUCGUGAUGCCUAAAAAGCAUUGCAUAGCAAGGGCCGGGCAAGACCGGUGCCAGCCGCCGCGGUAACACCGGCGGCUCGAGUGGUAACCGUUAUUAUUGGGUCUAAAGGGUCUGUAGCCGGCCGGAUAAGUCUCUUGGGAAAUCCAGCAGCUCUACUGUUGGGCUUUCAGGAGAUACUGUCUGGCUCGAGGCCGGGAGAGGUGAGAGGUACUUCAGGGGUAGGGGUGAAAUCUUGUAAUCCUUGAAGGACCACCAGUGGCGAAGGCGUCUCACCAGAACGGACCUGACGGCAAGGGACGAAAGCUAGGGGCACGUACCGGAUUAGAUACCCGGGUAGUCCUAGCCGUAAACGAUACUCGCUAGGUGUCGGCCACGGUGCGACCGUUGUCGGUGCCGUAGGGAAGCCGUGAAGCGAGCCACCUGGGAAGUACGGCCGCAAGGCUGAAACUUAAAGGAAUUGGCGGG